ensembl:lncRNA
CGGCUGCUCUCCAACUCUCCGUGCGCUGCCCUCGGGUUGCAACCCCCUCUCCAGACUGGAUGUCGCGGAGCCAGGACGACAGCCCAAGGGCGCUUCCCACAUCUGUUGCUGCGACUGUGGGGGAAGAUGGUAGAGAGGCAGAGAAAGGGACAGUGUCUAUGACAGCCCUGGAGACAGAGUUGCUGACCAGAAUCGGAAAGGAGGGUGCAGGCGGUGAACAUGCAGAGCCCCGUUCCUCGGUUUUUCCGUAGACACUGAGCACUCUGGGGGCUCUUGGCCCCCCAGCCCUCACUCCGGCCAAGGCGGUCUCUGGAGGCAGCCCUGAUGGGACCAGCGCAUCUCAUCAACCCAGAAUUCAGAACCCUGAACUUCACUUCACUUGCCUGUGUCUGUAAUCCCUACAGACACCUCCGGGGAAGAAGAACUUCCCUCGACCGCGGGGACUCGCCCAACCUGGGAACCUCUGGGGCCCGAGAGCCAAGAAAGACCCCCUUCCUUGCUCUUUUCCCGGGGAUGCAGAAGUCAGCGGACGUCCCAGGAAUCUGCAGCCUCUUCACCCCCGCACAACACAGGCACAGUCCUCGCUUUGCACCCCGCUGUGUUUCCCACGCCGAGGGCACAGUUGGCACCUUCUGGAUACUCGUACCCAGGCUUGGACCGGAGAAGAGAAUGGCAACCCACUCCAGUACCCUUGCCUGGAAAAAUCCCAAGGAUGGAGGAGCCUG